GGAUAGCUCAGUUGGUAAAGCAUGAGACUCUUAAUCUCAGGGUUGUGCGUUCGAGCCCCACAUUGAACA
rnacentral:tRNA from 1 species